GCCCAUGCCGUAGACCCCAAUUAUGUUGAGCUUAUCAUCCUUCAACGCCUCCACAACAUCUUGAAAUACUUUCAUUCUUGAAUCAAAGGCCUCGUAAUCUUUCACUUCCAUUUGUUCUGUACUCUCUGGAGCAGGACGGUAGGAAACAUUAGAGAAGUUUCCUUUUCCCACGAGACUAGCGGCAGCUUCUGCGGCCUUUGCUGCUUGUUUACUAAGCUGGUAACGAGAAAUCAAGUUGGGGCACAACCCUUUGAAGCAGGACUUCUUAGCUCUAUCUUCAUCAUCAAUGAUGGAUUUUGCAACCCCUUCACUGAUGAAUUCAUCAACUUUAUUUAGCCAGUCUGUGACACCCUCAUAAAUCUCAUCCCCUUGUAGUCUAGCAUGAUUAACAGGUUGUUGCACCGUUUCUCUUCUAUAUCCCAGCUGCUUCACUUGAUCUUUUAGGCCAUCUAUGUAGCUCUGGUACUUGAAAACAUAAGAUAUCUGCCGUAUAAUCGGUUUGAACACUGACUUUGCACCUUCUGAUACGAUGCUGGAAAAAGCAGCCAGACCCACUUCUGCCAUUGCCUGCUACUUAACAAAUCUAAUAAUAUGUCAAAGAAAGGAAUACAAAUAAAUAAAAAUGAACUAAAGGGAAAGACAGAGAAAGAAAAGAUUGCAAACAGCAUCGCGAUAUUGAUCUUGAACCAACUGAUAUCUAAAUAGAGAAUUUCUUUCUUCCAUCUUAAGGAUCAGAGGUUUCGCUAUUAACAGAAAGGUAUCCUUCAAGGAAAGUGGAUGGAAAUUAAGAAAGAACCGUUAUCAAGAUCAAGUAUUCAGCUGCUAAAAAUAAAUGAUAUGACUUAAGAAAAAUAAAUGAUAUGACUUAAGAAAAAUAAAUGAUAUGAUUAAGAAAAACCAGAGAAUUUUUUCCUAGGAAAGUUGAUGGAAAUUAAGAAAGAACCGCUAUGAAGAUCAAGUAUCAGAGAUUCUGCUACUAAAAGAAUAUUACAGGUUUUAGAACAAGUGCACCUCUUUACCAGGUCUGGGAUCAGAGUUGAUAAGCUGCUGUACUCACCUUGAAUAUAGAAGAAAAACAGGUGUCAAGAUCAAGGAGAUUAUGCUAUUAAUAGAAAUUAUCAAAGGAUUUAGAACAAGUUCACCUCUUUAAUUAUCCGGGAUCAGAUAGUUGAUGAGCUUCUCUUCUUGGCGUUGAAUAUUUAAGAAUAAUUUUAAUGAGCAAAAAGAUCACUGGUAACUGCUGAAAAAUGAGUGAGAAAAGAGUUGAUAAGAGUAAUAACAAUGAAUUGAAUAAGAAAGAGACUUAAUCAUGCACCCCCUUUCCUAUCAUGUAUUUGGCUACUGUUGCCUUGUUGACGCAUGUAUAGAAUAGUCAUAUGUAUUUGGUUUUUUUCGUUCACAUGCACUUUAAUCAUUAGUGACCUCUUUCAUGAAGAAUUAAACUUGUAAUGACCAAAAGACGAAGCUGCGGUGUAUUGUCGGACCCAAUUAAGUUGAAGAAAGCACUAGUUCACGACCUUACGUUUGGAUAUAUUCUAAAGAAAUAAUUAAGUUUGAUAAAAGAUAAAGCAAAAGCUUGAAUGCAUGAUUGAGGGCGAAGACUUUUAUAAAAGCAGAUGCCGAAAGCACACAAAAAUGAUUUGAUCUAUUGUUUUCAAAAGAAAUUGCAAUUAGCAGUUUUUGUCAAAAGUUCGCCCUGCGUGAAACUAGUGUUAAUAUAAUUUAAAAAAUUAAUUUCAGUAUUAUUUUUUAAAAUGUUAAUUAUUAGAUUUAUUUUAAUAAUAUAUUUAUAUUUAUUAUAAAAUUUUAGUUAAAUAUUUGUGUUAAAUAGAAUUUAUAAUUAAUAUAAUAUAUCUUAGGUAUUAUAAUUAUUCUAUAUGCUAUUGAAAAUAAUUUAAAUUUUUAGACGUUUAUUUUCAUAUUAAGUUUCUAUUUAUUAUAAAAUUUAGUUUAAUAUAGUAUAAGCUUGUAAAGUAUUAAACUAUUUUUUCAUAUUUUUUUAACAUAUUAAAAUUAUUUUAAAAUAUAUAUAUAUAUUAACAUUGAAGUCAAUUUUUUGAGUUAAUAGAGCUGGUAGGUGUUAUAGUAUAAAAGAGUUUCUUAGCAUCUCUUAUUGAAAAUAUAUAGAUCUAUAUAAUUAUUUUUUCAAAUAUUGAGAUGUAGUUAUAAAAGAAAAAAUAAAUUAAAAAAUUUUAAAUUUUAAUAUGGCCAUCGUAGAGUUAGAAUCCCCGCUCCAACCCGAUUUGGAGAUGUGCUUGGUCUAUUUAUGUUUUGGAAAAAGAAAAACCAAAGAAAAAAAAUACGCACCCGACCAAAUCAAGUAACUCAUCAAAUAAAAAAUAAAAAAGGAAAGAAAUUUAAUGACUUGCAUGCAAUUUUGGAUCUGAAAUUAAAAUUACAUAAAAAUUAAGGAUUACGUACCUUAAUAUUUACAGCUUAUUUGAUGGACUCAACAGGUUUAAGCAACAUCAAAAUGUUUGUGGCUCCUUAAAUGAGCCCCCGACAUGGUGCAAAUGACAAACAUCGACUUGUUUGACAGCUCCAACAAGGCUACGAUGAUCAGAAAAUGAGCCCUCAAUCAAGAAGCUAAGAUUGGCUUCUCUAUCCUCUUCUCCCCACAACCAGCGCCUUGCUCUUUGUCAUUUUUCCUCUUGUUAGUUUUCUUCUACAUAUAAUUAUUACACUGGGAAGUAUACACACACCUCUUUUCUUUUUAUAGUACCUUACUAUUAUAUCUUUACAAAACAAUAUCACCCUAAGACAGCUAUGUACGAAAUAAAUGAAAUAAAUAUAUAAGGAACUGACGAAAUAAAAUUAUCAUGACCAUGACUUUUCUAAUUUAUUUUUUCCUUUAAAAAAGGGACGAGGAUAAGUUUGGGAGAAUGAUUAUAUUUUUAAUAAAAGAAUUCUUUUUUAUUAUAAUACUUUUUAUCUUUAUUAAUUUAAAAAUAUUGACUCUUAUAUUUUAAUAAAUAUAAAUAUAAUAUUAUAAUAAAAUAUAACAAUAUAUAAAAAAAUUUAAACAAAUUUAAGAUUUUAUUAAAAUAAAUUUUAUAAUAACUACAAAUAUAAUAUUAAUACAAUUAUAAUAAUUUGCAUUUUAAAAAGUAAUACUGAUAUUAAUUUUUUAAAUUAUAUUACUCUACCAAAAAAAUUAAACUAUUAAAUUAUAUUGAUAUUUAUUACAAAAUUUGCAAUUAAUUCUUAUUAUAUUUUUAAUUGGAAUUUUUUCCUGUGUUAUAACAACAAUUGCUACAGUUUUUUCCCUAAAUAAAGAUGGAGUUAUAAAUUAUUUGUGUAAGUGUCAUGAAAGUUAUAAUUGAAUAACAAUAAUGGCGCUUUAGGCAAUUUUUUUAUGAGGUCUUCUUUCAAUUUCAACACUUAAACAGACUGCCACUAGGGUUUAUAGCCCAGUGGUGAACCAUUGCCCUCAAAGUUAAGCAUAACUAUGAGGGCAAUGGUUCGAGUCCCCACGGACUCAACCUCCCUCAAUUAAACAUAAUUGUGUAGAGACUUCUUAUAACGUCUUUCUCCCUUGCGAAAUGCGAGUGAAGUAGCGAAAUCCCUCUUCCGUGAGAGGUAUUUGGAUAGGCAUCUACUUCAUAGAAUAAAAAUGUAAUAAUAUAAGUCUCAUGUAUAUAUCUGAUUGUAAAUAUCAAUGUAAUGACCUGCUGUCAUAGCAGUUGUAUAUAUCUCUGUGUAAUAUAAUAACCUGAUGCUUAAUCAGUUCAAAAACAAAAAACACUUAAACAGACUUGUCCUUGAUCCCAAUUUAUUUACCCCAUAUGGGCCGUUAUGACAUAAACAUAUUCUUGUGGAAUGAAAAACACAGGAGAAGAAAAUGUUUUAUUAUAAUUAAAAAAAAAAACAAGUGGUCCAUAUGUUACCUGUUACCUGCAGAGGAAUGUGAUUAUAGAGAGCUUAUGAGAGUAAAGACAAUGAUUUGCAAAAGAAGAAGACUUAAUCAUGCAGCCCUUAGUAUUUAUCAAAUGAUUAGUGAGCAUUUCUUUUAUGGACAAAGAUGCCAACAGCAAAAAGAAAAACGAAAAAAAAGGGCUAAAUUACUAAGUCUUAUUUUAAUUUUAAUUUCUUUUAUUUUCAUUCGCCGAAGAGGGAAUCUCUUUUCCUAAUGUGACAUAAUUAAAGCAAUCUAUAAAUAAUACAAUAAUCAUAUAAUAUAAUAAUUAAAAAGACGCACAUGUUUAUAAUAUUAAUGAUGGGAUCCAUAUGUUUAUACUGAUUAAAUUGGUGGACCAGAAUUUAUUUGACCUUACUUGUUUUCUAUUUGAUUAAAAUUCAAACGACAGAGAAAUAUUGUCGUAUUGAUGGUUUCGAUUGUGGAGUUCCGCUGUGGAUAGCACAUCCAAUAGUGAAAAAUGAAGCUUUCGUCAACUAUCUCACAUGGACGCGUACCAUCAUGCAUAAUUGCAUAUUGCGUUAUUUCUUUAGAAAAGCAAGAUUAAUUCUUUUAACAAGCAAACGCAUAUACAUAGAAUAAUUAUAUGUAUUUGUUGGUUCAAGAAACUUAACUGACAAGAUUGAAACAAACAGGAGAUUUUAUUUUUUUUUGGACAUUAAGAAAUAACAGCUGUCAAGAUCAAGGAGAUUAUGCUAUUAACAGAAAUUAUUAAAGGAUUUAGAACAAGUUAACCUCUUCAGUUAAUCCGGGAUCAUACGGUUGAUGAGCUUCUCUGUUUGGCCUUGAAUAUUUAAGAAUAAUUUUGAUGAGCAAAACGAUCACUGGUAACUGCUCAGAAAUGUGUGAGAAAAGAGCUGAUUAGCGUAAUAACAAUGAAUUGCAAAAGAAAAAGACUUAAUCAUGCACCCCUUUUCAUAUCACGUAUUUGGUUACUGUUGCCUUGUUGACAUAUGUGUAUAAUAAGGGUCCGCCUAAGUUACAGCUGAUGUAAGUUGAAGAAAGCACUAGUUCUGUAGUUCACGAUUUUACGUUUGGAUAUAUUCUAAAGAGAUAAUUAAGUUUGAUAAAAGAUAAAGCAAAAGCUUGAAUGCAUGAUUGAGGGCGAAGACUUUUAUUAAAGCAGAUGCCGAAAGCACACGAAAAGCUUGAAUGUUGUGGCUCCUUAAGUGAGGCCCAGACAUGGUGCAAAAGACAAAAUCGACUUGUUUGACAGCUUCAACAAGGCUACGAUGAUCAGAAGAUGAGCCCUCAAUCAAGAGAGCUCCCUGCCUCUUAAAUGAUAAAUUAAAAGCAAUUGUAGCUUGUCGACAUCAGGCCAAUUUCAGGCCUUUGAAGAGCACAAAUGACAUGGCCUUGACCAAAGAUUGCCUUCUCUAUCCUCUGCCGACACAUCCACUUCUCUCCACAACCAACGCCUUGCUCUCUGUCAUUUUUCCUCUUGUUAAUUUUCUUCUACAUAUAAUUAUUACGCUGGGAAGCAUACACACACCUCUUUUCUUUUUUUCUUUGUUUCAAACUACUAAAUAUUAUGGGAAAAUGAUCGAAACCCUUUUUUUUUUCUUUCUAGUUAACAUUAUCAGGUGUAUUUUUGGCUUUUCACACUUGCAUAAAAAAUUGAUAAAAAUUUGAAACAUAAAAUUCACUUUAUUACCUUUUACUUUUGUAAAUAAACUAAAAGAUAUUUUGGUCUUUUCAUAUAUUUGCCAAACGUUUUUAUAAAUUAAAUGGUGAAAUUGUUUAUAUAGAUUACAAAUAAACAGUAUAAUUAAUUAUAUUUUGUAUGUAUAAAGCAUUAAAUAAUAAGAUAUUUGUGGCUUUUAAAACUCAAGAAAACUCAAGAAAAUUAAAUGACAAGAUUAAGACAAACAAGAGAUAGUUUUUGUUGGACAUUAAGAAACAACUGCUAUCAAGAUCAAAGAUUAGAAAUUAUGCUAUUGAAAGAAAUUAUUAAAGUAUUUAGAACAAACGCACCUCUUCAAUUAUCUAGGAUCACAGAGUUUAUGAGCUUCACUCUUGGCCUUCGAUUUAUAAGAAAAAUUUUAAUGAGCAAAAGAUCACUGUUAACUGCAGAAGAAUGUGAGUAAAGAGUUUAUGGGAGUAAGCAAUACAAUUGAAUUGUAAAAGAACAAGACUUAAAGCAUGCACCCCGUGUUCAUAUAAACAGAACACAUGUUCAAUUUUAACAAAGUGAUCAAUAACUCUAUUCGUUAUUUAAUUGAUAUUGUAACCAAUUCUAAGAGAAUAUAAUAAUAAUCAUUCAAUCCAUAAAUUAAGAAUUAUAUUUUUUUAACUCUUUAUUUAAAUAUAAACCUUAAUGGAAAAUUAUAAAAGUUUAGAGAUAAAAUUUUUCAAUCACCAAACGAAAAAAACAGGGGAAUGAAAACAGAGGAAUCUUGUUUUAACUAUUUUUUUCCUCAACUCUCGUUCUUAUAUUAAUAAUCUUGUUUUGAUGAUAGUGCUCGUGACUGCGGGAAAAUUUCUACUGGAAACAACUCAAUUUCGGAAGAAAACUUAAUUUUGCAAGUGAUGAAUUUGAACUCGUUGGAUUGGUUGAUUUAUGAUUGACUGAAUUUCACUUUUGCCCAAAAGAUCUUUAACCAAAGUUUAAUAGCCAUCAUGUACUCCUUGAAAGCAAUUUUUUUUUUUAGAUUUGACUGAAUUUGAACUUGUUGGAUUGGUUGUUUUUAGAUUAUUAAUAUGAGAUAUUACAACGUAAAUAUUUUCAUGUGGUUGAGCCCUAUUCUAAAAUCUGUAUAUUUAGCUUUAGAAAAAGGGCUUUUCCUGCUGAUCUGUAAUCUUCAAAUAAACUUAGAUACAAAUAAUGAAAUAAAAGACAACAAACAAGCAAUACUGAUACAAAGCCAACAGAUCAGAGUUUUUUCUUGCCUUCUUUUGUUGAAGGAUUAGAGUUUUUGGUAUUAUCAGUAAGGAUUUAAAGGGUCUGAGCAAAACCCCUAAAAGCUUUUUCUAAACUUUUUUUUGGGGGGGGGGGGGGGGGAGCAUGCAAAAUAACCAAAAGAAAUAAUAAGAGCACAGUGUCACGGGACGAGAGGUUACGAGCCCGUACGGCACUCCCGCAUCCCAUACUACGAGAGUAAGCCUAGUGGAAGUGGCACAAUGUCGAUUGGUUUCGCCCUGCCUUGGGCUCGUCAGGAGAACGGCUUCAGUUCCCAACCAGUGUGCGUCAGGAUUUUCCUAGACCCCUCUUCAGCGUUAAGUCCUCGACUAGCGACAAGCUCCCCAAACUCAACCGGGUCGGCCUGCCUGAACUCCAAAGAGUCUAGGGCAUUGUAUUCCCCACACGCACGCCCCUGAAGCACGUCUCCCACAAUCAGCACAACCAUCAUCAACACUAGCGUACAAGCGCAUAUCUUGGGUGCCACGAUUGCGGUCCGUGACAACAGGCUUUAACAAUGAAUAGUAACUUAAAACUCAUGCAAAAUAAGUUACAAUAUUAAAACAAACCAGAGAAAAUUUUUUCUUGGAAAGUAGAUGGAACUACCAAAAAAAAAAAAUUAUUCAAGGAUUUAGAAAACGUGCACCUCUUUAAUUAUCUGGGAUUAGAGAGUUGGUGAGCUUCUCUAUUUGGCCUUCCAUAUUUAAGAACAAGUUGAAAGAGGAAAAAGAUCACUGGUAACUGCUGAGGAAUGUGUGAGAAAAGAGUUGAUGAGAGCAAUAACAAAGACCUGCAAAAGAAAAAGAAUUAGUCAUGCACCGCUUUUCUAUAUCAUGUAUUUGGUUAUUGUUGCCCUGUUGACGCAUGUUGAAGAAGAAAGCACUAGUUCACAACUCUACGUUUUCAUAUAUUCUAAAGAAAUAAUUAAGUUUUCAUAGAAUGAUACCUGUUGUGUUUGAGUAAUUUUGGUAUAUACAUUGCUUGUGUACUGUGAAAUUGAAAUGAAUAUUGAUGGAAUGAUUCGGGACUAAAACUUUUAUAAAAGCAAAUACCGGAAACACACAAAAAGCAUUUAAGAGAGAAACUAAACAGCAAAUAAUGGAAGUAAGAUCAAUAAUAUAUGAUUUGAUUUAUGCAUAUUCAAAAACCAAAGUAAAAAAAAAUAAAUAAAGUUUGAUUUAUUCUUUCCACAAAAAACAGGGGAAUGAAAACAGAGGCAACUUGUUUUACCAAUUUUUUCUUCUUAAUUUCCGGCAAAAAAAAAAAAAAUCAAUAAACAGGGGAAUGAAAACAAAGGAACGAAAACAGAGGAAACUUGCUUUUCAGGCUAUCUUGUGACAUGAUGAUAUUGCUCGUGAAUGCAUGAAAAUUUCUAAUGCAAACAGCUCAAUUUGGGAUGAUAAGCUUAAGUUUGCAAGUGAUGCAUGUAAAUAACUUUUCACGGUUAAUUGAAUCUUUAAUACUCUGGGCCCUAUUCUAAAAUUUGUAGGUUGCUUCAGAAAAAAAAAAAAGCAUUUCUCACUCAUCUUUAAUCUCCAAGUAAAAUUAGAUACAAAGCAAAUCUAAUAAAAUAACAAACAAACAAACAAAACAAAGAAAAGACAGGAGGCAAACAACAUUGAUCUUAAGCCAGCUGAUAUUUAAACAGAGAAUUCUUUCUUUUUUUUUUUAACCUUUUGCUCAAGGAUUAGAGUUUUUAUAUUAACAGAAAGAUUUCAGGGGUCUGAAUAAAAGCCCAAAAUUUCUCUAUUUUAUUUUUAUUUUUAUUUUUGGAAAGGAGCUUCACUAUUGGCCUUGAAUGUGAGUAAAGAUUUCAUCAGAGUAAGUAAUACAAAUGAAUUGUAAAAGAACAAGACUUAAGCGUGCACCCCCUGUUUUGUUUUAUUCGUUAUGAAAAUGAUAUUGUACCCAAUUUUAAGAGAGCAUAACAAUAACCAUUCAAUGCAUAAAUUUAGAAUUAGUUUUUUUUUUUGUAAUUCUUUAUUUAAAUAUAAACGUCAAUGGAAAAUUAUAAAAAUUUAGAUAUGAAAUUUUAAGUCACCAGACCAAAAAAAAAAAAAAGCAUAGGAACGGAAAUAGAGGAAUCUUGUUUUACCUUUUUUUUUCCGUUUAACUCUUGUUCUUAUAUAAAUAAUCUUGUUUUGAUGAUUGUAACUCGUGACUGCGGGAAAAUUUCUAAUAGAAACAACUCAAUUUCGGAAGAUAAGCUUAAUUAUGCAAGUGAUGAAUUUGUUCAAUUGACUCUGUACUUGAACUAGUUGGAUUGAUUGUUUUUAGAUUUGACUGAAUUUGGGAACCUGUUGGAUUGAUUGUUUUUAGAUCAUUAAUUUCAGAUACUACAACGUAAAUAUUUUCUUGUGGUUGAGUCCUAUUCUCAAAUCAGUAGGUUGCCUUAGGAAAAGGGCUUUUCUCACUGAUCUUUUUUUUUUUUUCUUUAAUUCACACGCACUUGAUUAUUGACUUCUUUCAUGAAGAAAUAAACUUGUAAUGACUUAAAGAUUUAAUUUCAAGUUAGAAUCAAUACCAAAAGACGGAGGUUUAACCAAGCAUGCAGUGUGCUUUAAUGAUUUUGGCAUAGACAUUGCUUGUGUACUUUGAAAUUGAAAUGAAUAUUAAGUGACAGCACAGUGAAUAUGCCUAAUAAAAGAUCAGCAAAAGCUUGGAUGAAUGAUUGAGGACCAAAACUUUUAUAAAAGCAUUUUUGAGAGAAACUAAACACCAAAUUAUCAAAGUAAGAUCAACAGUAUAUGAUUUGAUUUAUACACAUUCAAAAACAAAAUAGUGAUUAAUAAUAAAGUUUGAUUUUGUAUUGCCAACGAUGCUUUUUUGUUGUUUCAUUUGUUCGACGUGGCCUUAUUUACAAAUUGGUUUAUGUUAACAGAAACAUGAAAUUCACAUCACACAAAAUUGCACGAACAAAUAUUAAGAGAACAUAAUAAUAAUCACUAAAUGCGUAAGGGUGAAUUUAGAAUUACAUUUUCUUUUUUAUUUAAUAAAAUCCCAACGGGAAAUCAUAAAAAUUUAUGUAUAAAAAUUUUCAAUCACAAACAAAAAACAGGGAGAAUGAAAACACAGGAAACUUGUUUUACCUUUUUCUCAUCUAACUCAUGUUCUUAUAUAAUAUUUUCCCUGGUAUUUCAGGCAAGCAAAUAAAUAAAUAAAUAAAUAAAUAAAGAGCAAGUUGCUAAAAUUGAUUUAUCUUGUUUUUCAGGCAAUCUUGUGAUAUGAUGAUAAUGCUCAUGAAUGCUAGAAAACUUCUAAUGCAAACAAUUCUAUUUGGGAUGAUAAGCUUAAUUUUACAAGUGAUAAAUAUAAAUAACUUUUUGUGGUUAAUUCAAUUUGUAAUUACCCUUAGCCCUAUUCUAAAAUUUGUUGGCUGCUUCAGAAAAAAAAAAAGAAUAUUUCUCACUCAUCUUUAAUCUUCAAGGAAAAAAAAAUAUAAUAAAAUGACAAACAAACAAACAAAUAAAAGACAGCAAACAAACAACAUUGAUCUUAUGCCUACUGAUAUUUAAACAGAGAAUUCUUUCUUCUUUUUCUCUUCAUGGAUUAGAGUUUUUGCUAGUAACAGAAAGGUUUCAAGGGUCUGAAUAAAAUCCCAGAUUUUUUUUAACUUUGUUUUUUGUGGGAAAAUGGAUUCAAAUUAACCAAAGCCAAUAAUAAGAUCACAGACUUUAACAAUGAACAAUAACUUAAGCAAAACCAAUGACAAGAUUAAAACAAACCACAGAAAUUUUUUCUCGGAAAGUAGAUGAAAAGCAAGUAAGAACUGCUAUUAAAGGAUAUUAUUAAAGGAUUUAGAACAUGUAUACCUCUUUAAUUAUAUGGGAUCAGAAAUCGAUGACCUCCUCUAUUCGCUUCAGAUAUUAAGUAAGAACUGCUAUUAAAAGAAUGAAUUGAUGAGAGUAAUAACAAUGAUUGCAAAAUAGGAAGACUCAAUCAUGCACCCCUUUUAUACCUGAUCAUAUUAAGAAGUCGUUAAAGAAUAACGACUAAAUUAGGAAUUAAUUCUGAAGUUCAGAAUCAAGAACAAAGACGAAGCUUUAAUAAAGCAUGCAGUGAGAUACAAGAAAUGGAUCUGGUAAAAUACAUUAAAAAAAUUUGUUCAACCUAGUUAAGCUGAUGAAAGCACUAGUUGUUGGCUCUACGUUUCAUAUGUUCUAAUGAAAUAAUUAAGUUGAAGUUUUCAACGAAUAAAUACCUGUUUCGCUUGAAUAGCUUUGGCAUAUACAUUACUUGUGUCCUGUGAAAUUGAAAAGGUUAUUGAUUUACAAAGCUUAUUAGUAGAGAAAAGCUACGCAAGAUGCCUGAUAAAAGAUAAAGCAAGAGCUUGAAUGAAGAAUGACAUUUUAGAAAGAAACUAAAGUGUAAUCAUCAAAGUAAGAUCAAUAAUGUACCACUUUCCUUGCAAAUCUGGUGGGUUUUCUGAAUAGAUUUUUACAUUAUUCUAUUUAACCAUUUUGGGUUUACCCUAAGCAUUCUUGGUUGGCAUUGUCCUGUAAUCUGCGCGCCCUGGAUACGUGAGAGGGAAUGAUGAGGGUAGAUAUGCAAUUUCAAGAAGCGAUUUGCUUGCAUAAUUCAAUGCAUGGAAAGAGAUGUACCUGGCCAGACAAAAAGGGAACCAUCCAUAUCUGAGCUUGACUUUUUAGACGGAUAAACAUUCUUAUUACUGUUGAUAAUGGAGAAGGGUUCUACUUUUGCUUUGCCAUCUUUGAUAUAAAACAGCAUGAUUCCUUUUUAUGAAACACUUGCCUAAGUCUUUUUUUUAUUUUUCUUAUUUUCAGAAAGAGAUUAGCUUAAUUUAAAUUAUAUUCACGAACAAAGUGUUAUACACUCAUAAAACGAGAAAUAGGCAUGUAUUGAUCACGCGCAAUCUGUUUUUUUUUUCCCCUUUUUGUUUUUAAUCCAGUCUUCUUAUUUAAAAAAAAAAGAAUUUAUUUGCUUUAUUUUAAAUUAUUUUUUCAUGCGGUAAAUGCAAUACUGAGUAAUGGGUGAGCAAAAUAUUUACAGGCACACCCCCUUUUAAUGAUUUCGUACUAAAAUUAAAAAUUGACGAUUCCAUGAUAAAGUUCAAAGAGUAAAUGAAGACCCAUAAAUGUUUUUUGGUCAUGAGCAAUUUUUGAGUUGGGACAGCACUCGUAUGAAAAAAAAUAGUUUUUUUUUUCUUUAAGCAUGAGGAUAUUAAUUCUUUUUUUAUAAAUCAGCGUGAAUAUAAAAUUAAAAAAAUAGUUUUGAAUAACUUCUUUUCUUUUUUCAUAAAUAUAGAUAAAAAAUUUUAAAGUCACCAAACACAAAACCAGGAAAAUGGAAAGGAAGCCCCUGUUUCUCCGCUGCUGCAAGCACAAAUUCGGUUUCUACAGGAGUACCUUCUAAAUGCACCAUUUGUAUUGCUUUGUUUCCACGUAAGCUAACGGAAUUUGAUGAAGACAAAAUAGAUAUGAGUCGUGCUAUUCACACCCCUCGAUAAUUCUUUCAAAAUCCCCUUUCUAAUUAUACCGCCUUGAAUAAUUUCAAAACUGACUUUUCCUCUUAUAAUACCACCUUCAAUUCCCUUAAUACCCUUGUUCGCUAUGAAAAUAGAGCGAAUUGCGUGGGAUAUACUUGUUUUCCCUCAAAAUACCUAAAAUAUACCUCCAUAUAUUAAAAUUGCUAGUUUUACACAUAUAUACUUAAAAAGAUCGGGAAAAAUACAAAAAUAACCUCAAUAAAAAUACUCGACUUAUUUAAUAUGCUUACUCGACUCAUUUAAUAUUCUUACUCGACUUCUUACCGGACCAUAUACUCGACUUAGUUAAUAUGCUUACUCGACUUAUUUAAUAUUCUUACUCGACUUCUUACCCGACCAUAUACUCGAUUUAUUUAAUAUGGUUACUCGACUUCUUACCCAACCAUAUACUCGACUUAUUUAAUAUGCUUACUCGACUCAUUUAAUAUUCUUACUCGACUUCUUACCCGACCAUAUACUCGACUCAUUUAAUAUUCUUACUUGACUUCUUACCCAACCAUAUACUCGACUUACUUAAUAUUCUUUCUCGACUCAUUUAAUAUUCUUACUCGACUUCUUACCAGACUAUAUAUUCGACUUAAUUAAUAUGCUUACUCGACUUAUUUAAUAUUCUUACUCAACUUCUUACCCGACCAUAUACUCGACUUAUUUAAUAUGCUUACUCGACUCAUUUAAUAUUCUUACUCCACUUCUUACCUGACCAUAUACUCGACUUCUUUAAUAUGCUUACUUGACUCAUUUAAUAUUCUUACUCGACUUCUUACCCGACCAUAUACUCGACUUAUUUAAUAUACUUACUCGACUCAUUUAAUAUUCUUACUCGACUUCUUACCCGACCAUAUACUCGACUUAGUUAAUAUUCUUACUCGACUUCUUACCCGACCAUAUACUCGACUUCUUUAAUAUACUUACUCGACUCAUUUAAUUUUCUUACUAGACUUCUUACCCGACCAUAUACUCGACGUCUUUAAUAUGCUUACUCGAUUCAUUUAAUAUUCUUACUCGACUUCUUACCCGACUAUAUACUCGACUCAUUUAAUAUGCUUACUCGACUCAUUUAAUAUUCUUACUCGACUCAUUUAAUAUUCUUACUCGACUUCUUACCCGACCAUAUACUCGACUUACUUAUCUCUAAUUCUUACUUGACUAAAUUCUCGAUUUACCAGACUUCGUACCCGACUUCUUCCUGUACUAAUUCUUCAAUCACUCAUAACUUAAAUGUAGUCUUAAAUCCCUACAUUGAAAUAGUGUGUGUGUGUGUGCAAGCACAAAAAAUGAAUAAUGUACUACUAAAAUUCAUAAAUCAUUAGGAAGUACACUUAUAAGAAAAAUAGAGAAUGGUGAGAGAAGCCCAAAAAAGAGAAGCAAUAGGAGAAGAGAGAUGUAAAUUCUUAGUUUUUUUAAGGUUAUUUUUUACUUUUCCUAUCUUCAUAAGGUAUAUGUAUGUAAUAAGGUAUAAAUUUGGCAUUUAAGGGUAAAUUGAGGAUAUUUAAAUAAAAAACCCAUGAAAAUAAGGAAAAUGCCUACAUAAAAAGCUGGCUCUGAUAAUCUACCUGAAUUUACAUUAGAAAAGAGUGGACUUUGAGAAAUAAGAAGACAAUAUAGGGAAUUUUACCAAAAUAAUCCAUUUUUAUAUACAGGGAAUGGUAUUUUCUAAUAUAAGGAGGAGUGGAGAAAUUAAAUUUAGCAAAAUAAAGAACCUCCAUCGAGAAGCAAAAAUGAUAAUAUCUUUGUCGUGAAGAGAUUUCAAUUCAAUUGCAUACACUGACGAAACAUUAAAUACGGAAAAAACAAAAAAGAAAUAAUAGGACAUGGGGAUUUCGAGAACUUCUAAAGAGAGAAAUGUAUUUAUAAGCAUUGAAAAUUAGCUCAUUAAAUUUGACAGAAUAAUAUACAAUCUCACUGUUGGCCAGAAAAUAAUAGUAAGAACUUGUGAACAUAAAUAAUCAAUUGCUUAUUACUUAAGCUUUUUCUCCGUUAUUUUGAAUGGGUGCAAAGAGGAGAAGUUUUGUACCCAAAUUCCAACUCGAAUUGUGUAGGCUGCUUGCAAGAGCUUCAUUAGAUUUUUAUUUGUCUUUUAAUAGUGCUUCUCGACAAAUACAGCUAGCUAUCUGUCCUUUUUGUUACUGGACUAUAGAUCAAUUGACAGCUGAAGUUAUAUUAAUUUGUUGUACUGGAAUUGAAGCUUGUAUCUUAGCCAUUUCGUGAAGUGUCAAAUAUAUUUUUAAUUUCCUUAAAAUUGUUCAAAAUAUGUUUACACUUUUAAAGUCACUAUUAUACAUGAGUGCCCUAAAAUUGGAGAAGGCGAUUUGCCUGACAUUACCUGUAUUCGCUUGUAUAGAGAGGACGAUUUAGAUAAGUCGGAACGGAACAACCUUCAUCACAUGCUUCCUCACGUGGUUACUUAAACUGAUAUGUAAAACGUGCUCCAUCCAUGUCGUUUCCACUAAAUCGUUUUCUGUUAAGAAUCAGCUGAGCAGCACGUGAGCUAAUGAAGCUUUUACGGCUUCAAAACGCAGCCGUUUCUGGGAACCAAACUUGAUUCAUCACCUCACAACUACAGAUGAAUUAUCGAAGUGGCUGAUUGGUGCUAUACGUGUUUUUCGUAUUGAACUCAACUCUGCUAUUUUCCCAAAGCUGGAAAACAGAAACAUCAUCCCUGUGGUUUUAUUUCCCCUCAACCUUUUUCUGAUCCCAUUUUCAUUGUAAUUUCUCAUUUACUUUGAGUGAAAGUCAUUGUUGCUUUCGAACGAGGUUUUGCAACUAAAAAGGAAAAGGGGGCGGCUAUAAUACAUGCGUGCAUCUGAUACAUGCACAAAAACUGACCAUUGGAUUAAAUGGAGUGGAUCUAAUGGCUGAGAUUUGUUUUAUUAUUAAGCAAUAAAAAAAUUUGAAACAACCAGAAACCUGUAAAACCGGUCAUUUGGUUUAAGUUAAAAAUAUAUAAAUGAAAAAAACAAAAAAACCCACCACUCCCCCGCCUCACACGCGCCUUACCGCUCCCUCGCCUCACCUCUCUUCUUGUUCCACGGCCAUCAACGGCGGCACGAGUCGGCGACGAUCAACUGCGGCUGUAAAUUGACCACGAUCAUCUCUCUCUCUCGGCUUGCUCAAAUUUGGCCGAUCUGUGCGCUUGAUUAAGCUUGGCCGAUCUAUGCUUGCUCGAUUACUCUUCCUAUCUUCAGUCAGAGUCAACUGUUUGACAAGAGUCGAAGUCCAAGGUUCUUUUUUACAGGAUUUGAGCUACUCCUUUUAUUCUUCUUGCAUGUUCACUGAUAUGAAGCUUUGAUGUGGUGUUCUGAUAGCGGGUGGAAUUUGAGAUUCUCCUUUCUUCUCUAUAUGAAGGUGCUUGUCAUGUGUCAAGAAAAAUAAAAUUAUUUACCAAAGAUUAUUUUAAGGAGAUUUAUUAUUAUUCGUGGAUCGGGAAGCUCAAAAAAUUUUCUUAUGUAGAACAUAAAGUGAUUUAAAUUUUGCCAUGGUAUAUCCUUUUCUUUGAUUGUGUUGUGGUUUUCCAGUUCUUGGAGAUGCAGAAGAAGUUUAUUUUGUUUUUUGGUAUCUUAUUUAUUUAUUGUUUUCACGAGGAAAUUGCUGUGCUUUUGGAAAUUAAUAUGCUGUGUUGUCAAUGUUGUGUGAAAUCCUUUUAUUGGUGUCUAUGUAAAGUGUUUCAGAUUUCAGACCUGAGAGUUAAUCUUCGCGUACCAGUUGGCUUUUGGGUUUAGUAUUGCUGCUUUUAACAUAAUUGACCUAUGGCCCAAAUCAUUUCUAUAGGGCAAAGCAUAUGAAUGAUAAAUAUUAUCUUUUUUUGGCCUUAUGUAUUUUUAUUUGCAGUGUGAUUUGGUCUAGCUUAAGAGCUUAAGCUUGCAGGUUGGAUUUGUCUGACAGGGAACAAUUUAAUUUGUUCAUCGUGAUGUUUAUAUCCAUUUUGUACUACUAUCAAUUUCAGUCAUGCCUAAUUUUUAUAUGUAUUUCUCGUGGACUCUCAGGGUCAGUGCACAAGAGGAUGAAGACGAUGGACACCCAAAUUUAUAGUGUAUUUUUGUCAUCUUUGUAUGACUGGCAGGUCGUCCUGAUUUGGUACAUGACUGGACACAGGAAUUGGACUCAUAUUUUUCAAACCAGAAUGCCAACAAUCAAGCAUUUUCUUUUGAAAGCACUGGCGUCUUCUUCAAUGCCAAAAAGGUUAGAGAUUUUCUGUAUCCUGUUUUGUAUUUGAUCAGUUUAGCAUGUGGGUGGCAAUCAAGAAAAGUUAUUAUAACAUUUUUGUGUUCCCGAAAAACUGCUGAUGAUGUGUAGUGCAGGAAAUGAAUUGUUUGUGACUUCUUUUUAUUUGUAUUCUUUCUUUUUUCUUUUCUCCCCAACAGGAUUAUGCAUUUCUGAAGAGCUUCUUGAAGUUGAUUACCUUGUAUGCCACUUUCUUUACUCUAUGCUCAGGAUGUGAUUUUGCCAAGCAUUAAAAUGGUUUAGGUCAGAACCAUCAUCUAAAGUUUACUUAAUGCAGCCGAGAAGCUGUAGUAGAGCAAUGAAGGCUGUUGGUGUUAUGAAGGCCAGCUGUGAAGAAAUAUUUGAACUUGUAAUGAGCAUGGAUGGGACACGAUACGAGUAUGCUUCUUUUCUAUUUUUUAUUUUUAGUUACUUUAACAUAAUCAAGACUAUAUUGGCUGUCUCUGUAAGCUGAGUAUUAUAUUUCCUCUUGUAUGCUGUGAAAUUCACAUUGUCUCCAGUCCCGAUUCUGUAUGUGCCUUUUUGAAUAUAUUUAGUUAAUCUGCAUGGUGCUUUCUAAAGAUUAUUACAAACUUUUGUUGCUUAGGUAUAUGAAGAAUGUGGAAAUGAAAAUAGCUUUUGAAGUUUGAUGGAUUGCUUCAUUAAUAAAGAAAGACUAGGACUCAUUUUUAUAACUUUUUCUCCACUUAGCUAAUGGUAUUUGAUGAAGACAAAAUAGAUGUAGCUAUCUGUAUUUUUUGUUGCUGAACUAUAGAUCAAUUGACGGUUGAAGUUAGUUAUAUUAAUUUGUUGUACUAGAAUUAAAGCUUGUAUCUUAGCCAUUUCAUGAAGUGUCAAAUACGUUCUUUCCUUUUUUUUUUCAAAACAUGUUACAUUUUUGAUGUCUAUUACAUAAAAGAGUGUUCUAAAACAGGAGAAGGCGUGCUGCCUGAAAUUACCUGUUUCCUAGCAAAUCUAGCUGGUUUGCGAAUUAGAUUUUAACAAGUCUCUUGGCAAUGUUUGCUAGUAAUGUGUUCAAAUUAUUCUAUUUAAUUUUACUGUCUGUACCCUAAUAAUUCUUGGUUUGCACCAUUGCAUUGUUCCAUAAUCUCUGUGCGUUGGCUUAUAAAGGCCAGCAAGGCUGAUCAUUUGUCGAAUAGUUAUUUCCAUGAAAUUCCUAUCAAUUUGACUCAGUAUUUAGAGGUCUUGAAGAGGGCAGUGUACUAGACAUGGAUUUCUACCUCUUUUGGUUGUACAAUUGUUGUAUUCCUUGGCCAUCAGAUCUUUUUUAUGUACCUUUCUCAAAGUUCAUGCUGCAUGUACACCCUUUUUCAUGUUUUGUGCAGGUGGGAUUGUAGUCUUCUGUAUCGCAGCUUAGUUGAAGAGGUAGAUGGGCAUACGGCUAUUCUCUAUCAUAGGCUUCAGCUGGACUGGUUUCCAAUGUAAUAGUCUCUCGAUUCAAUCAUCUCAUUUAUGCUUUGGUCAGAAUAGAACAUUUAUUGUUUUCUUCUUUCCCCUUUCCUCUCUUCUGAUAUAAUAUGUGAGGAAAUUACCUAAAAUUUUUCUGUAUCCCAAUGUAAUUGUUGGAAUUCAGAAAUAAAAUACAUACACCGUCUUGUUUUUCCCUCGGUUCAGUCCUAAGUUCUCUUUGGGCCUUCUGCAAGUUUUUAAACAUACUAUGACAGUAAAAAAUCUAGUGAUUGAGAUCAUUUUGAUGAAUUUAAUUUUAAUUCUUAGCUGAUACUUUUUCUGGAAAUUUUUUUCUUAUGUUUCCUCAAUAUGACUUAAAAAUAGGGCUUAGUUUGGUUUAGAAGUUCAUCUAAAACCUUCUGCUUGAUUCCAAAAAAAUUCUCAAGGAAGGUCUCAGAUGGAUUUUAGGGGAGUUCUGUGGCAAAUUUGAAAAGUUCAGGGGAAGGGUCUAAUGAAUUUCAAAACCACAUGGGUUAUCUGUUUUAUUCAGAGGAUAGUGCAAUUCCCUAAAAUUUAUCAUUUUUAUUUAAAUAAUCUUCCUACUUUCCUCUGCGGAAUUUAUUUAUAUAUAUAUGAAUUUAUUUGGUUGCAGGUUUGUUUGGCCCCAUGGCCUUUGUUAUGUGCGUUAUUGGCGUUGAAAUGACGAUGCGAGUUAUGGUAAGGUUCUUGCUUCCCCACUUCUUGAAAUUAAAUCUAUCUUUUCUGGCACUAGAAGUUUCCAUAAGCUGUGUUUUGUUAUCACGCAGUUGUGUUAUUUCAUUCUAGGGAGCAUGAGAACUGUGGUCCACAACCAGGAUAUGUACGAGCUCACGUGGAGAGUUAGUUUUCUGUCCUUUACUUUGGUUGAUGUAGAGAAUUAACAAGUGACUAAGUCAUGCCAAGUUGCACCACUUGCUUCCUGUAUUCUGAUUUCUCAGGUGGUGGAUUCAACAUUUCCCCACUAUAACCUCAAAAUGGUAGGCCCAGAACACAGGUACAACAUCUUAUGCAGAUUGAUCUAAAAGGGUGGGGUGUUGGUUGUGUGGCAAUGUUUCAGUAACACUGUCUUCGUCAGAUGUUAAAUAGCGUUGCUGGUAAGUUUCUAGUAUUUCACAUUUUAUUUUGCACUGUUAUGGAUUAAUAUGUUUCUGCUGGGUGGCCAUUUUAAGUCAUAUUUUUACGUGUUACUGUAUUUUCUGUCGGUCCUUUUAUAGGGAACACACACAUACACGUAUGUAGAGUCACCUUUUAAUGAGGGAUCAACCAUUUUAAUAAAAUGAGGAAUGAGCUAAAAGAUAGAGAUUCACGAACUCCAAUGCAAUAUGUGUGUGUGCGUGUGUACACCUUUUCUAACUCUUGUUCUUAGUUAGAUAUUUUUUGGGAUUUCAGGCAAAUGAAAAAAGAGAUUAAGAACAGGUGGAUGAUAACUUUUUAUUUUUUUUUUGGAACAAGGUGGAUGUUAACUUAAAUAUUCAUUUUUAUAUAUUUUGUUAAUGUCCUCUUUAAUGGAUUUCUAUGGAAUUAAUCUUUUUUUUUUCCAAUUAGUUGCAGCCCUAGAGGAAAAGCAGGGUGAUCAAAUUGAUUUAUCUCGUUUUUUUGGAGCAAUCUGCAACACAAUGACCGUGAUAAUGCUUGUGACUGCUGGAAACUUUCUGAUGGAAAUAACUUCAGAGUUCGUAGCAAGCAUUUUGUUAUGACAAAACAAAGGUUCCCGCCAAUUUUGGUUGUUUCUUAUGGUAUUUAUAUAUCUGACAUAUUCUAGUUCGACAUGUAACGAUGUAGUUUGGUUGGUUCUUCUUGUUCUUUGUGCAAUUUGUAACUGCAGAUACAUGUGGGAAAACAUUUAAUGGAUCUUGUUGCUGUUGAUUGGUUCAAAGACACAAAGAGAAUGGACCAUGUAGCUAGGCGUCAAGGCUGUGCUGCACAAGUAACUAUUCUUUUCUUUUUUAUUUUUCCUUUUCCAUUGACGGAUUAGAAGAAAAUACUGCCUGUGAGAUACUACAAUGUAAAUAACUUCUGGUGGUUCAUUGUAUCUAUAGCACUCUGAGCCCUAUUCUAAAAUAUGUAGGUUGCUUUCGAAAAAGGGCUUUUCUCACUGAUCUUUAAUCUUCAAGUAAGCUUGUUUAAUUUCAGAAGGUAUUAGGUUUCAAACUUAUCGUUUUGGGAGGUUGUAUGGUUGUAACGUAAGCAUCUGCAGGUUCCUGGUUCAACACAUUAUAGUAUGGUAUUUUAUUUUGUCACAAGGGAAUUAGUUACAGGAUCCCUUUUGCAAUGGUUUGUUGACAGCGAUGAUGAAUUUCGCAAUAGUAGGCUGAAACUUAUCCCGUCCGUUCCUAAGGUAUCCGUCUUGGUCUUCAUGUAUUAGGACUAUGUUAACGUAUACGUACCCUUCGCUGCAUAGUACACUUCAAUUUGUACAAAGAAGGCAUGCAUUUAGGUGUAAAUGUAUUGAUGGGUUGUACCUUCAAACUUCAUUUCCUUUUUCUACCGAUUUGAAUUUGUUUUGCAUUUGUUCUUGAUUUUAAGCACUGAAUCACGCGGGGGUCAUGGAUCGUGCGCCAGAGUGAUGGAAGCACCCCUUGUUUAUUAGGAAAAGCAGUUGAUUGUAACUAUAUCCACGGUCCUAAGUACUUGGAAGUAAAUGCUCUUCGAAUUCCUAUAGUACAUGGGAUGUGUUCCCUUUCAAAUAGCUUGUUCAAUAUGAUUAACAUGGUUUAACAUUGUUAAUCUUUCUGUAGAUUGAUGUUGACAUGUUCUUGUAAUUGGUGUAAUUACGGCAUUGGUGGUUGACAUGGCUUUCCUUGUGCAGGUAUGUAUGAUUGUUUUUUUCCCCCAGUUCUAAAUGACACAAGGGAAAAGACAUGAUUUUGAGAUAUUGUACUGCAAUUUGCAUAUUUGCAUACUUGAAUGUUCUCAGAAUGGUAUAAUGCUUUGUGUAUGCAGGCAAAUACUACAGAUGAAUUACCGGAGCGGCUGAUUGGAGCUGUACGUGUUUCUUAUAUAGAACUCAAGUCUGCUAUUGUCCCAAAGUUGGAACCAGAGACAUCAUGACUCUGGUUUCAUUUCACCUCAACUGUUUUUUUUUUUUUUAAUUGAAAAAAAAAUCAUUUGUUUUAGGUAUACAUACAUGUAUUUUGAUCCCGUUUUCAUUGUAAUUUCUCAUUUACUUUGAAAGAAAGUCAUUGGUGUUUUCGAAUGGGAAUUUUGCAUUAAAAAAUAAAGAAUACUUAAUAGGAAAUUUCAUGAUUCUUUAGUUACUAUUUUUGGAAUGAGUGUAAUAGUAUUAAAGUUGGUUUCUACUCGCAAACAAGUGAACUACUCGAUCCCCAACUGCGACCACUACUUUUAAAACUCAACAACUAACAAAAAUACUAAUAAAAAAAUGAUUUUCUUAUGAUGCUGUGAAAACAUUUAUGGGUUCACUUAUUUCCACAAGAUCUAUAAAAUGGUAUUGACUUCACGAAAUUCUUUUAAUUUAAAGGGUGUUGGUCUGAGAAAGUCAGUGUGACGGAUUAAUUUCUUCUAAUAAUGGUCGAUUUAAUUUUACUAUGCUCAUAAAACUAUUCUUAUUCUGAUAAUGUCAUAAAUGUUAUGAUGUUUUCUUCGGCUAAUGAUCUUCUAUCAGGACUAGUUAGAAAUCAAAUGCUUAAAACACCAAUUGAAUGAAUAAUGCAGAAGUUUAAACAGUAUCUAAUUGAAAAUUGCAUGAAACAUGAAACAUCAAUUCAAGUCCUUCCUUAAACAGAGAAUGCAUCAAACAAAUCCAAAGUGUCUUGCAAGUCUGUAGCAUGACUAAAAAAUUGUAAAUGCGUUUAGAACCAAAUUAUUCAAGUACAGGAGAACGAGCAAGUUGAAUCAUGUACAAGAGAUUGGCCUGGUUCGAGAUAGCUUCUUCACUGUACCUGAAGGGUUGGCUCAAUCUUUUCUCUAGAAUUCUGCACAUUUUGUAAUUACUCGUGUAAGCAAGCAUACAUUACAACCAUAAUAAUAAUAAAGCAAGAGUAAUGAUACGACCACAACCUCUUGUGCACAAAUAAUAUUGUACAAACUAAUAUGACAUAAUAUGAUUGAUUAAACAAAAACAUAACAUGACCCUCAUUUUUUUUUUUUAUUUUAUGUUUUCAGUCAAGCAACCAUAUUAUGCCACGUUAAUAGCUAUAGAAAUAAUUUGCUAGAUAGUGCCAACACUUCAUUGAUACUCACCAUUUCAUUGAACAAUUUUUUUAUGGUGUCAUUGAGGUUUCCUUCCCAACAUCCUUCAUCAUCACCAUCUUCUUCUUCGGUGGGUUUCACUUUGUUUAGCUUUGGUGCGUCUACGACUCCUUGAGAGAAAAUCUUCAUUGUUGGGCACUGUCUCACAACUACGUGUUCCAAGGACGGGAACUCAAGAGCGUAAUUACCCAAACAAAAGCUUGUUAGGCUUGGCAAGCAAUCAAGUCCCAAGUACUCCAAUUUCCUGAAAACAAUGCAAUCUUCCGCUUCUUCUCCAACCUGCAACUGUAUGAUUUCUUCUAUCAUUUUGCAAUCAGUUAUCUUCAUUAUUCCGAGAUUCAUUAGACUUUCAGAUGUUGAGAGCAUCAAUAAAUUUAUCAACCCAUGACACUCGAAUACUUCCAGAGUCGCAAGAUUUUCCAAAUGCCACGAAGCUGGUACUAAUUUCUGCAACUUACUACAUUCAAAUAUUUCUAGACUUUUCAAGUUUGCAAACACUUUGUUGGAUUUGGCAUUUUCCUUCCAGAGAUGCUGCACUUUGUGUAAUCCAGAUAGCUUUAACUUCAUCAAUUGAGGGAAUGCAACCUGAAAAUCAACAAAAUUAAGUUGUAAAUAAAAAUAUGUAUCCAAGCUCUGCAGUCUUCCCCUGCAUAUUUUAUGGACAAGAUUAAUCACGACAUUUUAUAUUUUUUUCCAAAUUAGUAUGCUUUGCAGUAGGAUCCCAAAUAUAAGUAUCAAAUCGAUUACCCUUUGAAACACAUAAAUGAAAUCUGAUCUUAAAUCCAAUAUGAAUUAGCUAGGAAAACAGAGAUGUAACAUGCAUAAUCGAUAUAGUUCAUCACCUCCUGUCACUAGGGAUCUAAUUAAUUUGAGACAUUUUUAUAAUUCAUACUAUAAAGUUAGUUAAUAACUACGGUUAUAUUGUUAAAUCAGAUAUAAAUUAAGACGACGUGCAAAAAGAUGAGUCAUUAAAUUUGAUUUGAUUCUAAUGAAAUUACAUUUGUGCGAACGAAAGUGAAGGGAAAAAUAAUAAUAAUGAUUACCUUUUCAUCGAAGAGAUGUUGUAUGUGAUUAGCUACCAAGAGGUUCUCUUCUGAUUUUAAUUUUUGAGGUUCCUUAUUAUCGGCUGUCAUGUGCGGUAGAGGUGUAGAAUUGGAUACAAAUGUUUCCAUAUCAGGGCAAUUCUCAAUAAUUAGAUAUUCCAACUUAGGCAUUUCAAUUAUAUUCCCAGUGAGGUUGCAGAAUCUUUUGAGUUUUGGAAGAUCAAUGAGCCUUAGCUCAAAAAGCAUAGGAAACAGGGGGCCUAUAUGUACUUUUUCAGCAUUUAGCUCUUCCAAAUGAAGCACCUCUUCUAGUGAAUCACAAUUGCUCACUUCCAGCCGUAGCAAAUUGUUAAAGCACCGUAGCAGAUUGGCAGGAAUAGCACUCGAAUAUUCGUGCAGUCAUCCACCACCAGCACUACUAAAUUGUUGAAGAAGCUGACAGGCAGUGCUUGGCCAUGCCAUGUUUCUUUCAAACGUGGAAAAGGUGAGAGUUGCAAAUACCAUAUGUCACGGAAUCCAAUCUGCACAAACCAAAACAAUUGCACUGGAUAUAUAUAAACUAUUUUUUUGAAAGGCAUUAGAUAUAUAUAAAAUAUAUAUACAAGGCAGGUGUAUAUGUUCAACGAAUCGAUUUAACACAUACCAUUUCUUUGUAACACUUUUGUAUAGUGGAAUUAAGGUUGCCUUCCCAAUGGCGCAAUUCAUCCUCUUUCUUUUCAGUCACCUGCACUUCGUGCAGCUUUGGUGUGGAUACGAUUCCCUGAGAAAAAGUCUUCAUGUUCUGACAAUGUGUCAUAGAAACUCGUUCCAAUAAUGGGAAUUCAAGAGUGUAAUUCUCCAAACAAAAGCUAGUAAACCUUGGUAAAUAAUCGAGUAUCAAAAGUUUUAAUUCCCUGAAAGCAAUACGAUUCUCCUUCACUUCUUCUCCAACAUGUCCUAUGAUUUCUUCUAUUUUUUCGCAGUGUGAGACAUUAAGAUUCACCAGACUACUAGGAAUUCCAACCUGAAAAUAAAGAGUAGCAUUCAACUAUAUUCAAAAUAUGUCUAAAUCAUACAAUUGUUUUAUGAAAAUAACAAACCAUGAAUGUCUACUAGAUAUUUUUUGUUAAAGAAAAAAAGGAAAACAAUAAAACAAAAAUAAAUAAAUAAAUAGAAAUCCAAAAAAACAAAGAUAAUGAAAAUGCAUUUAUGCUAUUUAGUGUUAGGAAUGUAGAAAGAAUUUCAGGUAAUUUUUAAAUAUUCUAAAUUCAUUUUUCAUCUUGAUGCUAGUUUUUAAAAAUUUUUAAUUUUCAAACAUGCCUAUUUUUAAAAUAACUAAACUAAAACGCUGUAUUUCCCAUUUUUUUUCCUGAUGUUUCCUGCUUUUAAAAAUGGAAAACAUUUCUGGAAAACACUUCCCAACGCCAUCAACAUGGGACUGUUAUAGAGUGAAUAUUUGAGGAAAUUUUUUAAUCAACGGUCGAUUCAAAAUGACCAUCAUGAAUUUGUGCUUAAUCAAUGGCGUAAUCAAUUCAUAACUAAACUAGAGAUAUUAACUACAUUUGAACACUUUUCUUUUUUUUUUUUAAAUCGAAAUCUAAAGACCCAAGGAAAAGAGAAAUAUAUAUGAAUUUGUGAACUUAAAAGCUGAGUAACUAAGUAUCUUUUAAUUUCUGAAAAUCUUAUUUAUUAGGAUUUAAGAAAAAAAACAAUUAAAUUGAAUUAUAUUAUGCUGUUAAAUCGUGUUUAAAACAAUUAUAUUGUUGACUUUAAUGCAGGUGAACCUAUAAAUUAGAUUGAAAAUGCAGAGUUCAGAAUGGUGAUUUGAAGUACACUACUUUUUUUCCCUCCACAAGUUUGAAGUACAAUAGUUGCAAUAAAUAAUUUGUGAAUGAAAAUUAUUUGUAAACACAAAAAUGAUUAAAAUAAUUGUUGAAUGUUAUUUGAAAUAAAAAUUCAAAAUGAAUAUAGCAAUCUUACCAAUGGAGGAAAAAUAUUCAGUAGAUUAUUACACCCAGAUAUCUCCAAACUUUUCAAUUUGCUAAAAGAGUCUAAAGCAAGCUGGUGGUGCCAUAUUUUUCUCAACUGAUCCAUCGAGCUAAUAUGCAAUACCUCCAGACUUGGGAGUCGUACCUGAAUUUAAAAAUUCAAUGCAAUUAGAGAUGGAUAUUAAUUAAAUUUGAAGACUCAACGAUAGAAGAAAUUAACUAUUAAGAAUAAAAUUAAUUAAAAAAAAAAACCUUUUCAUCAAAGAGAGGUUGAGGUUGCAUUUCAGAAUGAAUGGUGUCUUCUGGUGAGGCAAAGCUACUUAGUUUUGGAAGACCAUCGAGCUGCAGGGAGUGUAGUUUAGGAAAAACCUUUAAUUCAUCUCUUCCUCCUAACCCCGUGGUGUUGACUACCCCUUCAAUUGACCGGCAAUUUCGAAUCUCAAGAUGUUGGAGUUGCAAAAGACUAUUAACCAUAGAAUAUGAAAACGGAUACUUCAGACGAUGACACCUUUCCACGGUCACUUUUGUCAAGUUUUGACAACAAUACAUUCCCUGAAAUUGAUCGGGCCAUAAUUUUUUGAUGCUUAUUAAACGGUCAAGUUUCAGUUCCUCCAAGCGUGGAAAAGUAACCUGCAAAGCAAAACCGUACAUUCUUGUUAAUUAAUUAAUUAUUCUUUCGAUGAUUGAAGAUCAAUCGUGAUAAUAUAUUAAUUAAUUAAUUAUUAAAUAGAAAAUUAUUACCUGGUGAACAGGAUCAUCCUCUGCAUUGAUUUCUGUGAAUCCCUCAGUAGUUGUUGGUUUCUCCAUGUCGGGCCCUAUAAAUGAACAAAAACAAUAUAUAAUAAACAUCCGUUGUUUUAUUCACCAAAAAAAAAAAGAAAAAAAGAAAGAGUCAAUGUCAAUAAUCCUACCAAUAAUUAAUUUCAACACUUACCAAUAAUCAUUUUCAAAUCAUCGCAGUCUUCCACUUUUACUUUUUGAAGCCGCAAUAGGUUUUUGGCCAUAGAGAAUGAGAAGAGAUGCUUCAAUUUGUCACAAAAAGCUACUCUUAUAAUCCUUAAGUUGCUGAAAGAUUGAUCUUCUCUGAGUUGGCUGUAGCAUAUCGUCUCCAAAUUAGUUAAAUCAAUAAGAUCCAAUGACUCCAGCAAGGGAAAGACUUCGCAACGAACCCGUCUAACUGAACCGACAAUAUGUACAAUCUCAUAACAACUUUCUACAUGAAGAUGCUUCAAUCGUGGAAAACCUUCCCCAUCGUCUAAUUCAUGAACAACAUUCUGAACACCCUCCAAUUUUACUAGCCAGAGAUCUUCAGUUCUCUGCAGCAACAUUUUCGUCCCAUCAUUCUCCUGGAGAAUGCUAACUUUUUCUAGCCCCUUGAGCAUCAUCAAUCUUAAUGCUUCAGAUUUGACGAGCAAUUGGUCAAUCUCAUAUUCGAGCUUAUCUCCUAUACGUAUCCUAUAUCUUUGCAAUUCCACAGAGACAAAAUCCGGCAACAGAAUUUCGGCAUCCCGAACUUCUAUCUCCAAAGUAGUUAGCUUUGUCAACCUCUUCAACUCGACAAGACUGGCAUUACUUCCUCCUUCAACCUUCUCCCACCCUGAAAAGCUGUUAUCCAUAUACAAUUCUUCUAAUCGAGAUAAUUUUGAAAUGACAUUUGGUGCUAUCACCUGAAGGCUCCAACAAUUGGUCAAAUCUAACAAUCUUAACCCCGUCAAUUGUCCAAUUUCAAGUGGUAACUGCUCGAUAUUGGAAUCUGCAAGGUUGAGAAUCUCUAAUUUCUUUAGCUGUCCAAUUGCCGCUACAUCUUCUAGUUGGCACCAGUCUAAACACAAUGUUUGAAGGUUAAUGAGGCGACCAAGUGAUGAAGGUAAUGAAGAGAAAUGAAUUCCGAUAAGACUUAAAACUUUGAGUUCUUCUGUUCCUUCAAAAAAGAGGUCUGAAAUUUGCACGGGGCCAUAACCCUGUCUAAACAACAAAAAUAACUGGAGAUUGGGACAUUGCAACCUUUCAGGGAGCUCUUGAAUAUUUCUCUGGGGUAAUGAAAUGGCAAUUGGAUCUUUCCGUAUUGUCUCUUCCAUCUUUUUCUCCAAGUCGGCAACAUUUGGGAUAUUAAACAUGCGCGUCUCUGCGGCAACUGAUACGGCAACAACAUGAAUGAUGUCAUGCAUUUUAACUUCAUCUUCAGCAUCACCGUCCAACAAUAAGCAUGAAGAUUUGAGAUUGUCGAUCAACCGAUGCACCCUACUCCUUGCUUCUUCCAAUGUGUAAACAUUUUCAAACAAACCCCAACCCACACCAUAUCUCAAUAAGUAAGGAACUGGUAUAGCAUGACCUUCACUGUAUAGACCACAAAGACGGAACAUAGAUUUUGCUUCCUCACUUCUCAAGAAGUCGUAACUCAAUUUUAUGGAGAGGUACACAUUUUUUUCCAUUCCAUCAAUUUCUUUUGCAUAGGAACUUCUUAGCUGACGCAGCACAUCUUUCCAAGUGUCAAGGCUCUCAUUUUUCAAAGCUUUUGCAAGUGUAAUCAGUGCAACCGGCAGUUCUCCGCAUCUUCCGACGAUCUCAUGUGCUAUAGGUUGAAAAGCAGAUGUUUUCAUUGAAUCACCCACUAUCUUCUGAAAUAAAUGCAAUGCUUCUUCUUUUGAUAAAGCAUCGAUCUGGAUCUCUUUCUGAGAAUUCAUAACAUUGCGCAAUAAAUCUUGACGUCUAGACGUCAGUAUUAUUGUGCAUCGUCGCUGAUCAUCCAUUCUUUCUUUCUUAACAUCCCCGGAAGGAAUUCCAACUUCAUCGAACUUCAGUUCUCCCCAAAUAUUAUCCAAUAUAAUGAGAUGCCGCUCCUCGUUCUUCAAAACUCGACAUAGUCGAUUUGCUCUGUCGAAUAUACUCUCAUUCAACUCAAACUUUAUGCCUAAAUCAGAAGCAAGUUUGUCUUGAAUUUUCUGAUGAUCUGGGUUCUCUGUUACCUCAGCCAUAGCGACCUUAUCGAACAACUUAUCUUUUUCCAUCACUCGCUUUGCAACUUGCUUGACGAGCGUGGUUUUACCCACGCCGCCCAUCCCGUAGACCCCAAUAAUGUUGAGCUUAUCAUCCUUCAACGCCUCCACAACAUCUUGAAAUACUUUCAUUCUUGAAUCAAAGGCCUCGUAAUCUUUCACUUGCAAAUGUUCUGUACUCUCUGGAGCAGGAAGGUAGGAAACUUCCCUGAAGUCGCCUUCUUUUAUGAGACUAUCGGCUGCUUCUUUGUCCAUUGCAGCUUGUUUACUAACCCUGUAACGAGAAAUCAAAUUUGGGCACAAUCCAUCUUCAGUAUCAAUGAUGGGUUUU
rnacentral:lncRNA from 1 species